rnacentral:sRNA from 1 species
UUCUUCUCUUUUUGCUCACCUGGGGAGUUCCUUCCCCUUUCCAUAAACUGUGGUCCCUGCAUGGCUGCGCCCCAUCCCUCCUCAUCUGGCUUGUCCUGCCCACAUCGCCCUGCAGGGUUCUAUGGCCUGGAUGAGUCUGACCUCGACAAGGUCUUCCACUUGCCCACCACCACUUUCAUCGGGGGACAGGAAUCAGCACUUCCUCUGCGGGAGAUCAUCCGUCGGCUGGAGAUGGCCUACUGCCAGCAUAUUGGGGUGGAGUUCAUGUUCAUCAAUGACCUGGAGCAGUGCCAGUGGAUCCGGCAGAAGUUUGAGACCCCUGGGAUCAUGCAGUUCACAAAUGAGGAGAAACGGACCCUGCUGGCCAGGCUUGUGCGGUCCACCAGGUUUGAGGAGUUCCUACAGCGGAAGUGGUCCUCUGAGAAGCGCUUUGGUCUAGAAGGCUGCGAGGUACUGAUCCCUGCCCUCAAGACCAUCAUCGACAAGUCUAGUGAGAAUGGCGUGGACUACGUGAUCAUGGGCAUGCCACACAGAGGGCGGCUGAACGUGCUUGCAAAUGUCAUCAGGAAGGAGCUGGAACAGAUCUUCUGUCAAUUCGAUU